rnacentral:tRNA from 1 species
AAAAUAGAAGUUAAACCCUUCUUACCUGCC